rnacentral:rRNA from 1 species
AAGACCUCGCGCUAUUGGAGCGGCCGAUGUCCGAUUAGCUAGUUGGUGAGGUAAUGGCCCACCAAGGCAACGAUCGGUAGCUGGUCUGAGAGGAUGAUCAGCCACACUGGGACUGAGACACGGCCCAGACUCCUACAAAAAGCAGCAGUGGGGAAUUUUGGACAAUGGGCGCAAGCCUGAUCCAGCCAUGCCGCGUGAGUGAAGAAGGCCUUCGGGUUGUAAAGCUCUUUCGGCCGGAACGAAAUCGUCCGGGCUAAUACCCCGGAUGGAUGACGGUACCGGAAGAAGAAGCACCGGCUAACUACGUGCCAGCAGCCGCGGUAAUACGUAGGGUGCAGGCGUUAAUCGGAAUUACUGGGCGUAAAGCGUGCGCAGGCGGCUUCCUAAGUCAGAUGUGAAAUCCCCGGGCUUAACCUGGGAACU